GGGUCAGUAGGUUGGUCGUGCCACCGGUACGUACUGGUCUCACUGAUUCCUCCUUCCUGAAGAACCGUAAUGCCAUUAAUCUGGUGUUGCGGGGAAACAGGACUUUUACUUUGAAAAAAUUAGAGUGUUUAAAGCAAGCUAACGCUUGAAUACAUUAGCAUGGAAUAAUGAAAUAGGACGAUCGAUCCUAUUUUGUUGGUUUCUAGGAUUGACGUA
rnacentral:rRNA from 1 species